rnacentral:rRNA from 1 species
AUUGAACGCUGGCGGCAUGCUUUACACAUGCAAGUCGAACGGUAACAGGCCUUCGGGUGCUGACGAGUGGCGAACGGGUGAGUAAUGCAUCGGAACGUACCCAGAGGUGGGGGAUAACGCAGCGAAAGCUGUGCUAAUACCGCAUGUGAUCUGAGGAUGAAAGCGGGGGACCGAGCAGCAAUGUUUGGCCUCGCGCCUUUGGAGCGGCCGAUGUCGGAUUAGCUAGUUGGUGGGGUAAAGGCCUACCAAGGCGACGAUCCGUAGCUGGUCUGAGAGGACGACCAGCCACAUUGGGACUGAGACACGGCCCAGACUCCUACGGGGGGCAGCAGUGGGGAAUUUUGGACAAUGGGCGCAAGCCUGAUCCAGCAAUGCCGCGUGCGGUAAGAAGGCCUUCGGGUUGUAAACCGCUUUUGGCAGGAACGAAACGGUGUCCGCUAAUACCGGGCGCUAAUGACGGUACCUGCAGAAUAAGCACCGGCUAACUACGUG